rnacentral:rRNA from 1 species
GCGGGAAUUCGAUUCCUACGGGAGGCAGCAGUCGGGAAUUUUGGGCAAUGGGCGAAAGCCUGACCCAGCAACGCCGCGUGAAGGAUGAAGCUUUUCGGAGUGUAAACUUCGCAAGAAUAGGAAGAAUAAGUUUGAACAAAUAAUUCAAACGAUGACGGUACUAUUUGUAAGCUCCGGCUAACUCCGUGCCAGCAGCCGCGGUAAUACGGGGGGAGCAAGCGUUGUUCGGAUUUACUGGGCGUAAAGGGUGCGUAGGCGGCACCACAAGUCACUUGUGAAAUCUUUGGGCUUAACCCAAAGCGGCCAAGUGAUACUGUGGAGCUAGAGUGCAGAAGGGGCAACUGGAAUUCUCGGUGUAGCGGUGAAAUGCGUAGAUAUCGAGAGGAACACCUGCGGCGAAGGCGGGUUGCUGGGCUGACACUGACGCUGAGGCACGAAAGCUAGGGUAGCAAACGGGAUUAGAUACCCCGGUAGUCCUAGCCUUAAACGAUGAAUGCUUGGUGUCUGGAGUUUUAUAGUCUCCGGGUGCCGGCGCUAACGCAUUAAGCAUUCCGCCUGGGGAGUACGUUCGCAAGAAUGAAACUCAAAUGAAUUGACGG